rnacentral:rRNA from 1 species
AUUGAACGCUGGCGGCAGGCCUAACACAUGCAAGUCGAGCGGAUGAAGGGAGCUUGCUCCUGGAUUCAGCGGCGGACGGGUGAGUAAUGCCUAGGAAUCUGCCUGGUAGUGGGGGAUAACGUCCGGAAACGGGCGCUAAUACCGCAUACGUCCUGAGGGGGAAAGUGGGGGAUCUUCGGACCUCACGCUAUCAGAUAAGCCUAGGUCGGAUUAGCUAGUUGGUGGGGUAAAGGCCUACCAAGGCGACGAUCCGUAACUGGUCUGAGAGGAUGAUCAGUCACACUGGAACUGAGACACGGUCCAGACUCCUACGGGAGGCAGCAGUGGGGAAUAUUGGACAAUGGGCGAAAGCCUGAUCCAGCCAUGCCGCGUGUGUGAAGAAGGUCUUCGGAUUGUAAAGCACUUUAAGUUGGGAGGAAGGGCAGUAAGUUAAUACCUUGCUGUUUUGACGUUACCAACAGAAUAAGCACCGGCUAACUUCGUG